CUUUCCAGGUAACAUGCCGGUUACUUGGUGUGGUUCUUGAGGAAACUAGUCCAGAGGAGCUUCAGAAACAAGCGACUGUGAGAUCGUCUGUGCUGGAAGUACUGCUGGAGAUUACAAAAUUCUGUGAUCUUUAUCUCAUGGAAAGAGUUCUGGAUGUUGAAAGUGAA